AACAACUAUUUCAACCUUCCUUUCUUCCUUUAGGGGUGGUUACGUUCGUCGUACCUACUAUGAAUAGAGAAAACUAUCCCCAUUGCACUCACUAGCAGCCCAGGUCUUUCCAUUCUACAUGUGGAAUUAUCUACUGGUUCUCGUCCACUUACCGUUGACCUCGAGCAGUAGCGCUGGCAUGUAAUAAGUUUCUGAUCCAACUUCUCCCCUUUUGUUGGUUUAUU
rnacentral:lncRNA from 1 species